rnacentral:rRNA from 1 species
CCUACGGGGGGCAGCAGUGAGGAAUAUUGGUCAAUGGACGAGAGUCUGAACCAGCCAAGUAGCGUGAAGGAUGACUGCCCUAUGGGUUGUAAACUUCUUUUAUAUGGGAAUAAAAUGUUCCACGUGUGGGAUUUUGUAUGUACCAUAUGAAUAAGGAUCGGCUAACUCCGUGCCAGCAGCCGCGGUAAUACGGAGGACCCGAGCGUUAUCCGGAUUUAUUGGGUUUAAAGGGAGCGUAGGUGGAUUGUUAAGUCAGUUGUGAAAGUUUGCGGCUCAACCGUAAAAUUGCAGUUGAAACUGGCAGUCUUGAGUACAGUACAGGUGGGCGGAAUUCGUGGUGUAGCGGUGAAAUGCUUAGAUAUCACGAAGAACUCCGAUUGCGAAGGCAGUUCACUGGACUGCAACUGACACUGAGGCUCGAAAGUGUGGGUAUCAAACAGGAUUAGAUACCCUAGUAGUC